ACUAGACGUUGGUUCUACUCUGUAGAAUUAGUGUCGUAGCUAACGCGUUAAGUGAUCCGCCUGGGGACUACGAUCGCAAGAUUAAAACUCAAAGGAAUUGACGGGGGUCCGCACAAGCGGUGGAACAUGUGGUUUAAUUCGACACUACGCGAGGAACCUUACCUAGGUUUGACAUGUAUAUGACCGCUCCAGAGACGGAGUUUUCCGUGGGAAACCAUGGACAUAUACACAGGUGCUGCAUGGCUGUCGUCAGCUCGUGUCGUGAGAUGUUGGGUUAAGUCCUAUAACGAGCGCAACCCCUACUAUCAGUUGCUACUUCGUAAGAAGGCACUCUGAUGGGACUGCCUGGGAAACCAGGAGGAAGGUGGGGAUGAUGUCAAGUCCGCAUGGUCCUUAUGCCUAGGGCAACACACGUGUUACAAUGGCCAGUACAAAGGGCUGCAAACUCGCAAGGGUGAGCCAAUCCCAAAAAGCUGGUCUAAGUUCGGAUUGAGGUCUGCAACUCGACCUCAUGAAGUUGAAAUCGCUAGUAAUCGCGUAUCAGAACGACGCGGUGAAUACGUUCUCGGACCUUGUACACACCGCCCGUCACGUCAUGAAAGCUGUUUGUACCCGAAAUCAUCUUAGCUAACUCGCAAGAGAGGCGGGUGCUGAAGGUAUGGAGAGUGAUUGGGACGAAGUCGUAACAAGGUAGCCGUA
rnacentral:rRNA from 1 species